rnacentral:rRNA from 1 species
AUUGAACGCUGGCGGCAGGCUUAACACAUGCAAGUCGAGCGGAGAUGAGGUGCUUGCACCUUAUCUUAGCGGCGGGCGGGUGAGUAAUGCUUAGGAAUCUGCCUAUUAGUGGGGGACAACAUUCCGAAAGGAAUGCUAAUACCGCAUACGCCCAACGGGGGAAAGCAGGGGAUCUUCGGACCUUGCGCUAAUAGAUGAGCCUAAGGCGGAUUAGCUAGUUGGUGGGGUAAAGGCCUACCAAGGCGACGAUCUGUAGCGGGUCCGAGAGGAUGAUCCGCCACACUGGGUCUGAGACACGGCCCAGACUCCUACGGGAGGCAGCAGUGGGGAAUAUUGGACAAUGGGCGGAAGCCUGAUCCAGCCAUGCCGCGUGUGUGAAGAAGGCCUUUUGGUUGUAAAGCACUUUAAGCGAGGAGGAGGCUACCUGGAUUAAUACUCUAGGAUAGUGGACGUUACUCGCAGAAUAAGCACCGGCUAACUCUGUGCCAGCAGCCGCCGCCGUAA